rnacentral:rRNA from 1 species
GACGAACGCUGGCGGCGUGCUUAACACAUGCAAGUCGAACGGAGUUGCGAACGGGUGAGUAACACGUGGGUGACCUGCCCUGCACUUCGUGAUGAGCCAGAGAAGCUGGGUCUAAUACAGGCUAUGGGGGGAUGGGCGCGGGGCUUAUCAGCAUGUGGGUGGGGUAAUGGCCUACCAAGGCGGCGACGGGUAGCCGGCCUGAGAGGGUGGACGGCCCCAUUGGGACUAGGAGACGACCCAGACGUGUACGGGGGGAAGCAGUGGAGAGUAGUGCACAAUGAGCGGAAGCCUGAUGCAGCGCCGCCGGGUUGGUGAGGACGGUCUUCGGGUUGUAAACUCCUUUCACCAUAGACGCGGUAGCUGGAGAAGAAGCACCGGCUAACUACGUGCCAGCAGCCGCGGUAAUUC